GGGCGUGGCCGGGGGCGAAGGCGCGGGUCGGGCUGCGGCCAGGGGCAGACAGCUGACGAAGGCGCCGUCGCCGCUGCCCAGGGAGAAGGCGGGCUGGAGAGUCACGGGCCCGGCGUCGGAGCGGCAGAACUUGGGUGCCAGGCUGAGCACGUCGCCGCCGACCCCGCUGCCGCCGCUGCACGAGACAUACUCCAGUUUCUAAAAGAAGGACCAAAGUAAUGUCAAGAACUCCCAGAUGAAGAGGACCUUCCUUAGACCUGUAACAGAUUCACUACUGACUUCAGAAGGAAGUUUCAGCUAAUUCUCAGGAAAAGGUCAAAACAGGCCUGUGACUGUCCCUGGAAUACUGAAAGUAUAAACAAGCUUCUGGCUCCCCCAGGUCAAGCAGCGGAACACUUUUUAUUAGAAUGAAAGGUUACUUCUUUGUUAUUCAAACACACACCCACACACAUCCUCUUUAGUCUCCCUAAUAAAAACCUCAACAGAUGGAGAGCCUGAGCUCCUAAGCCCGCAGGCUGAGAAGAUGCUCUUCACUCAAGGGUCAGUGGGCUGGUACAGACUGGGGAAGGGAGAAGGGACACAGCCAGCUAGUAUAGGUAAUCACUAUCUUUUAAUACUCCUAACACAUAGAAAUUCGAAAAAAUCUUGUUCAGCAAGGUUAGCAGCCUCUGGAGCCUCAGAAACUAAUUUGGCUGAUGUGUCUCUGAUAGGGAGCUUGGGGGCUGCACCAAGGGAAACGUACUCCUUCUAUAUUCUCUCCUCUCUCUCAUUUGAAAGCUUAUACAAAGAAAUGGUACAAAUGGAUGGUUAACUUAAUGAUUCCAUCAGAGGCAGAUUUUUCUCUGUCAGGUCCGUAGAUAAGGCGGAGGUCUGAAAGCCAGGAGGCAGAAUAUGUCCUUAAUCGCCCUUUCCGACUUGCUUACCAGUGGCCAAGGCUACUCUUCAGGCCUUUCUUCUGCCACUUCCCUGUCCCUCCUGACUAGCCUAGUUGGGUCUCAGCACUUCACUCCUGGCUGGAUCUUGAGUUUUUCGUAGGGAAAGCUCUCAGCUGCAUCUCCUUCCCCACCCCCACCUCCCAUUUUGCAGCUGGCCAUUAUGGCUGCCUCACAGCUAUCCUGCCUUAAUUCCCAUUUGAUUGCCUGGACAAAACCACCAAGAAUGUCCAGACGACUACCACCCCUCAUCCAUGGGCCUGAGCUCCUGCCUUGACCCCUUUCUUCAGACCUCAGAAGGCCUCACACACUCUCCCUGAUUCCCACCUUCCCCAAAGCUGUCUCUAUAGGAAAAGAGCAGAACUGGCUGAGGCCUGAGACAGCCAUUUCUUCCCCUUGGGCAAAUAAGGUGGACCCUCCCAGAGACCAGUGCUGGAGAGGCCCGGCCCGAGCUCCCUUUACAGGGCCUCCCCCAUCACGGAACCCAUGGGAAAACCUGGCACACAAUGGCGCGGCUGCUCCUGGCACCCUCAACCCAGCACCUGGAGGCAAGGCCUGAAGCAGUCUCGUGGUCUUGGUGUGCUCCCUUUGCCCUCUCCGCCAACCCUUCACGAGCACCCGUCCCAGGAAAGAGACCCUGGCAAGGGUAGACGUUGCCUCCCCCAAAGGGCGCUGUUGCUGAGGCCUCCCCUCCCCCAUCCUCUUGUUUCUCUGCUUCUGAGACCCCGGAGGGAGGCAGCAGACGCCUCCGCCGCCGCUAGAGCAGCUAUUGUGACCUUCCCUUGCAGAGCGGGAACCCAGCAGAGUGCGCGCCCGGCGGUGGCGGGGGAGGAGGCGGCUGUGUGUGCAAACCUCGGGCGCAGAGGGGGACACUGGGAAAUAAACGUUUGCAACCUC